CUGAGUUAGGGUCUUCUAGGCCCGAUCUCCAACCCUAUGUUUAACUAUCCUUGUUGCUUUGGCAGGCCCGUCUCUUGGGACCGCCGGAGGUUUUGCCUCUGGCCAGUGCCUGCCAGUAGCCAAUUUAAAUUCUUUAUAAUUAUGAAGUCUGAAUCUUUAAUUAAAUUAAUUA
rnacentral:misc_RNA from 1 species